UCCUCGUGGUUCUUGCCGGACAAUAACAUAUUACUUUAUUUCAUAUAAAUGUUAUUGACCAAGAAGAGUACACAAACCUCAUUCUAUUCCUAUAUGAAACCUAUUUAAAAUCUACCUCCCUGACUUAAUCUUAAUACCAUUAAUUUUGAGACCUACCAGGCAUUGAAACUAUGCGAUAUAUAGUGCCUCAAUUCAAACCCAGUAUUUUAACUGAUGUAUUAGAUGAAUUCGGUGAUUACCAUUAAUUUUAAGACCUAUCAACUCUUCCAACUAUCUGAUGUAUAAUCUCAACUCCUUAACUGAUGUAUUAGAUAAACCCUGGAACAUUUUAAAAUAUGGAAGAAAUGCCACAACGAACAACUACCAUUAAGUUUGAGACCUAUCAACUCUUAAAACCAUCUGAUGUUAGUACUUCAAUAUGCACCCAGUACUUCAACUGAUGUAUUAGAUUAAGUAAGGAAUAUAAAAUGAGUAACAAUCAACAACAUAUAGUACAAACUCAACUGGAUUAUGGUGAUAAGAAGAAGAAAAAAAAACAAAAAAAGUAUAUAUAUAUAUAUAUAUAUAUAUAAAGUACCUUUACUGUUGAAUAAGGGAUAACAACGUAAAGGAUUAUCAAAGGAUUAAAUUUUUGGAGUAACCAUUUGUUUCCCCCAAAUUGGAAAGACAUCAUCAAAUAAGUGUUAGAAAUUUCUAAUUGUCACCUAACCACCAAAACUGUAGUUUUAAGUUUCUGAACGGGUCCUACUUCGAAAAGAAAGAAAAUGGAAAAAAAAUUGAAUGAAUUUGACUGAUCAGUGAACGAAUAUAACCAAGCCUUAUGGAAUCAUCUAUUUCCAAGAUGUUGAUUAUCAUUAACAAGAUUAAGGCCAAAGUCCAUCGUUCACUCCUGACAAUAAUAUUAUUUUGAUUUUGUAAUAAAUACUACAAAAUAUUUUAUUAAAGAAGCUAAUUUUAAUUGUAGUAAUUACCAUCUUCUUGACACAAUAAUUUGUUGUGCCAACAGAGUAUUUUUACUUCCUGAUUAUUAUAAACAUUAUUUACUGAAGGUAUAAGUCUUAAUUAAUUAAAUUAAAAUAGUCCAAGCUGAAAAUAAUUAAAAACAUCGUCAACAUAAUGUUUUUAUUUAACACGUUGGUGUAAACAAGACGUUGAAGGAAUUGUCAAAUAUCUUCGGCCACUUAAGGAUUUUAAGACGUUUACGACUGGGAGUUAAUUUCGAGAUCAUCGUCAACACAACAUUUCAACACUUAUGACGCCUCAAUUAUUUCUUAUUCUUGUCAUCAUCUUUAUUUUUAUUGUUUAAUAUUACCACAACCUCAUUAAAAAAAAUAUAUAUCCUAAGAUUGAAGUUUUCAUCUCACUGUUAAUCAUAAUUUCAUACUCGUGAAUUGACUUCAUGACUUAUAAUCGAAAUAAACUGUCGUAAAAAUUUAUACGAGGACUAAAAACUUGAUAUAAUAAAACAGGUAUGUUACUAUGAAUAUUAAUAAAAAUUUAUUAAACCAUAACUUUUUAAAGAAAGAAAUAAGUAGUCUCAGAUUUUCUGUUGAAGAGGUGAAUGACUUUCGUUUAGUUGUUUAUUUUUAGUUUUUACUUGAAAACUUUAGUAAAAGCUAAAUAACCAAACUUUGGGAGGUAUCUAGAAGUUAAUUUGACGAGAUGCAAAGUGUUGUAAAUGUAGUUCAAUAUUUUAGUUGUACUUUAUUUGAACUACUUCCACUAUUAAUAUUAAACUUCCUUGACGGGGAAUUAUUAAUUCCUGUUUAUAUUUAGUUUAUGUAGGAGAUAAUAAUGAUUUAUUUUCAUAUAUUUGUUUUGUAAUUAUUAUUUUAUUUUUUAUUUAAGGAAUGUAUGACACAGCAUCUGAUAUUGAUAUUAUUGCAGAUAUUAUUUUACUAUUAUUAUUGUAAUAAUUAUUUUCGUACUCACUCAAAAAAUAUUCAUGUAUUUGUAAAUUAA